UGUGUGUGUCACAUGCUGUGUCUGAGAAUGAAAAAAAAAUCAGGCAGAGAUGAGGCAGGCACCCAUUGCAUCUCAGUUCCUGGUUGCUACAGGUGUCAGAAAUUCAUCUCAUCCCUCCUGAGAAUCAUGAAGCUGAAAGUCCCCUUGGUCUUUCUUCCUUUGUACUUCUCCUGCUGCGAAGCCCAAGUGGUUCAGAGCCCUGAGUCGCUGGUCACUGGGGAAGGGAAGGUCUCCACCAUGUCCUGCUCCUUCACCAGUGCUUACCGAACCUUCUACUGGUACCAGCAGCUGCCUGGGCAAGGGCCAACCUAUCUGCUGACCGCGAGCUCUAAUCAGAAUGUCUCUGUGGGGCGGUUCAUAGGCGAGCACCUGGAAAGUGGGAAACGCAGCUCCCUGCACAUCACCGACUCCCAGCUGGGGGACUCAGGCAGCUACCUCUGUGCGGUGGAUGCACAGUGACACGGGCAGAGCUGGGCUCAGGGCAGAAACCCUCAUCCUCUGACAGGCAUCUUGGCGGAGGAGCUGCAGGGGCAGAUCCCCAGCGGGUGCAAAGCAGUGUAAAUCCCUGGUAGCCAAAGGGACCCACCCUCAGCUGUUAUAAAUGGGGAGAGCCCCAGUGGAGUCAAUGGGGGCCAUAUCAUAAGGCGCUGGGGACUGGAACCCAGGUCUGCAGAUCCUGGGACAGCUGUGUGAAUAGCAGCGUAAAUCCAGAGUCACUCCAUAUGUGUU